GGGUGCCAUCAUACUAGCACUAGUUCACCGGAUCCCAUCAGAACUCCGCAGUCAAGCGUGGUUGGGAGAAAGUAGUACUAGGAUGGGUGACCUCCUGGGAAGUCCUCGUGUUGCACCCU
rnacentral:rRNA from 1 species